rnacentral:rRNA from 1 species
UACGGAGGAGGCAAGCGUUAUCCGGAAUUAUUGGGCGUAAAGAGCUCGUAGGCGGUUUGUCGCGUCUGCUGUGAAAACCUAAGGCUCAACCUUGGGCUUGCAGUGGGUACGGGCAGACUAGAGUGCGGUAGGGGUGACUGGAAUUCCUGGUGUAGCGGUGGAAUGCGCAGAUAUCAGGAGGAACACCGAUGGCGAAGGCAGGUCACUGGGACGGUACUGACGCUGAGACGCGAAAGCGUGGGGAGCGAACAGG